rnacentral:rRNA from 1 species
CAAGUCGAACGGUAACAGGCCGCAAGGUGCUGACGAGUGGCGAACGGGUGAGUAAUGUAUCGGAACGUGCCCAGUCGUGGGGGAUAACGCAGCGAAAGCUGCGCUAAUACCGCAUACGAUCUAUGGAUGAAAGCGGGGGACCGUAAGGCCUCGCGCGAUUGGAGCGGCCGAUAUCAGAUUAGGUAGUUGGUGGGGUAAAGGCUCACCAAGCCAACGAUCUGUAGCUGGUCUGAGAGGACGACCAGCCACACUGGGACUGAGACACGGCCCAGACUCCUACGGGAGGCAGCAGUGGGGAAUUUUGGACAAUGGGCGCAAGCCUGAUCCAGCAAUGCCGCGUGCAGGAAGAAGGCCUUCGGGUUGUAAACUGCUUUUGUCC